rnacentral:rRNA from 1 species
AUUGAACGCUGGCGGCAUGCUUUACACAUGCAAGUCGAACGGCAGCACGGACUUCGGUCUGGUGGCGAGUGGCGAACGGGUGAGUAAUACAUCGGAACGUACCGCGUAGUGGGGGACAACAAGUCGAAAGAUUUGCUAAUACCGCAUACACUCUGAGGAGAAAAGCAGGGGACCUUCGGGCCUUGUGCUAUGCGAGCGGCCGAUGGCUGAUUAGCUAGUUGGUGGGGUAAAGGCCUACCAAGGCAACGAUCAGUAGCGGGUCUUAGAGGACGGUCCGCCACACUGGAACGGAGACACGGGCCAGACUCCUACGGGAGGCAGCAGUGGGGAAUCUUGGACAAUGGGCGCAAGCCUGAUCCAGCAAUGCCGCGUGCGUGAAGAAGGCCUUCGGGUUGUAAAGCGCUUUUGUCAGGGAGCAAAGACUGAUGGCUAAUAUCCAUCGGAGUUGAGAGUACCUGAAGAAUAAGGACCGGCUAACUACGUGCCAGCCGCCGCGGUAAUAC